rnacentral:rRNA from 1 species
CCUACGGGCGGCAGCAGUGGGGGAUAUUGCACAAUGGGGGAAACCCUGAUGCAGCGACGCCGCGUGUGGGAAGACGGUCCUCUGGAUUGUAAACCACUGUCCCCAGGGACGAAGAUGACGGUACCUGGGGAGGACGCUCCGGCUAACUACGUGCCAGCAGCCGCGGUAAUCCGUAGGGAGCGAGCGUUGUCCGGAAUUACUGGGUGUAAAGGGAGCGUAGGCGGGACUGCAAGUUGGGUGUAAAAUCUACCGGCUCAACCGGUAGCCGCACUCAAAACUGCAGUUCUUGAGUGAAGUAGAGGCAGGCGGAAUUCCUAGUGUAGCGGUGAAAUGCGUAGAUAUUAGGAGGAACACCAGUGGCGAAGGCGGCCUGCUGGGCUUUUACUGACGCUGAGGCUCGAAAGUGUGGGGAGCAAACAGGAUUAGAUACCCUUGUAGUC